GCAGCCAGGUAGGGGUCAAUUGAAGAAUUAUACAGGGGUCAAAAAUACAAAUGCUCAAAUAAUUUUGAAAACUACUCCACACUAUUUGUCUGAUGAUAGCAAUUCCAAAAAGGUAUAGUUUGGACUAUCUGUGAAUGAAUGUUCUGGAGUUAUGGG